rnacentral:lncRNA from 1 species
UUUCUCUUCCUUCGUCCCUCUCUGACCCCUCUCUCUGCUCUUUCUCUCUCUCAAUCCAACCUCACCACACCCUCAUCAUUUUCAUCACGUCCGUCUAUCUCUCUUUGUCGUGGCCAACACCUAACCAACCGUCAUAAUCUUUGGCCGCGACGAAUUUGAACUCCAUGUUAUCUUUCUCUCUGUCUAUCAUGACCGUCGUCGUCGAAAGAUUUGUAGUUUUGUGCACGUCAUCAGAUCUGGUCGGUGGGUGAACGAUAUAGAGGAUCAAACCGGAGAUUGAGGUGGUGGUGGAAGUCUUCGGAACAGUGAAAGAGAGUGGAAACAUAGUAAGAGACAGUGUAGGUGAACGUUGGAACAAUGAACACGGCGAGAGAGAAAGAAAACAUGGAGAGAGAGAGAGAGAGAAGGGAAGAGCACGUGAGUGAGAAACAGAGAAAGAGAAGCUAGUUAAGUCAGAAAAAAAAAUUAAAGGUGUGUAAUUUUACUAAAAUAUCCCUACCAUAUAGGAUAAUACAAGGAUGGUACAAAUAAAAGUGUGUCAUCCUAUAUCUCCCCAUAUUUUAUAGUGCAAAGUAAGAGCAUGUAUACAUACAGCACAACACCUUAAUUAACAAGAUUAACAAAAAAAAAAAAAAAGCAUAACACCUUCUAUUUGAAUACUUAAGUGAAC